GAUGAACGCUGGCGGCGUGCCUAAUACAUGCAAGUCGAGCGAACAGACGAGGAGCUUGCUCCUUUGACGUUAGCGGCGGACGGGUGAGUAACACGUGGGUAACCUACCUAUAAGACUGGGAUAACUUCGGGAAACCGGAGCUAAUACCGGAUAAUAUUUCGAACCGCAUGGUUCGAUAGUGAAAGAUGGCUUUGCUAUCACUUAUAGAUGGACCUGCGCCGUAUUAGCUAGUUGGUAAGGUAACGGCUUACCAAGGCAACGAUACGUAGCCGACCUGAGAGGGUGAUCGGCCACACUGGAACUGAGACACGGUCCAGACUCCUACGGGAGGCAGCAGUAGGGAAUCUUCCGCAAUGGGCGGAAGCCUGACGGAGCAACGCCGCGUGAGUGAUGAAGGUCUUCGGAUCGUAAAACUCUGUUAUUAGGGAAGAACAAACGUGUAAGUAACUGUGCACGUCUUGACGGUACCUAAUCAGAAAGCCACGGCUAACUACGUG
rnacentral:rRNA from 1 species